UACGGGGGGGGCAAGCGUUGUUCGGAAUUACUGGGCGUAAAGGGCUCGUAGGUGGCCAACUAAGUCAGACGUGAAAUCCCUCGGCUUAACCGGGGAACUGCGUCUGAUACUGGAUGGCUUGAGUUCGGGAGAGGGAUGCGGAAUUCCAGGUGUAGCGGUGAAAUGCGUAGAUAUCUGGAGGAACACCGGUGGCGAAGGCGGCAUCCUGGACCGAUAUUGACGCUGAGGAGCGAAAGCCAGGGGAGCAAACGGG
rnacentral:rRNA from 1 species